UGGCGGACGGGUGAGUAACGCGUGGGCAACCUGCCCUGUACAGGGGGAUACCGCCUGGAAACAGGCGCUAAUACCGCAUAAGCGCAUACAGCCGCAUGGCAGUAUGCGGAAAGCUCCGGCGGCACGGGAUGGGCCCGCGCCCGAUUAGCCAGUUGGCGGGGUAACGGCCCACCAAAGCGACGAUCGGUAGCCGGCCUGAGAGGGCGGACGGCCACAUUGGGACUGAGACACGGCCCAAACUCCUACGGGAGGCAGCAG
rnacentral:rRNA from 1 species